UGCAGUCGAGCGGAACGAUCCUAGCUUGCUAGGAGGCGUCGAGCGGCGGACGGGUGAGUAAUGCAUAGGAAUCUGCCCGGUAGUGGGGGAUAACUUGAGGAAACUCAAGCUAAUACCGCAUACGCCCUACGGGGGAAAGCAGGGGCUCUUCGGACCUUGCGCUAUCGGAUGAGCUUAUGUCGGAUUAGCUGGUUGGUGAGGUAACGGCUCACCAAGGCGACGAUCCGUAGCUGGUCUGAGAGGAUGAUCAGCCACAUCGGGACUGAGACACGGCCCGAACUCCUACGGGAGGCAGCAGUGGGGAAUAUUGGACAAUGGGGGCAACCCUGAUCCAGCCAUGCCGCGUGUGUGAAGAAGGCCCUCGGGUUGUAAAGCACUUUCAGCGAGGAAGAAUGCUUGUCGGUUAAUACCCGGCAAGGGAGACAUCACUCGCAGAAGAAGCACCGGCUAACUCCGUGCCAGCAGCCGCGGUAAUACGGAGGGUGCGAGCGUUAAUCGGAAUUACUGGGCGUAAAGCGUGCGUAGGCGGCUUGAUAAGCCGGUUGUGAAAGCCCCGGGCUCAACCUGGGAACGGCAUCCGGAACUGUUAGGCUAGAGUGCAGGAGAGGAAGGUAGAAUUCCCGGUGUAGCGGUGAAAUGCGUAGAGAUCGGGAGGAAUACCAGUGGCGAAGGCGGCCUUCUGGACUGACACUGACGCUGAGGUACGAAAGCGUGGGUAGCAAACAGGAUUAGAUACCCUGGUAGUCCACGCCGUAAACGAUGUCGACUAGCCGUUGGGGUCCUCGAGACCUUUGUGGCGCAGUUAACGCACUAAGUCGACCGCCUGGGGAGUACGGCCGCAAGGUUAAAACUCAAAUGAAUUGACGGGGGCCCGCACAAGCGGUGGAGCAUGUGGUUUAAUUCGAUGCAACGCGAAGAACCUUACCUACUCU
rnacentral:rRNA from 1 species